rnacentral:rRNA from 1 species
UCGCGAAAACUCCGCAAUACACGAAAGUGUGACGGGGCCAUCCCGAGUGCCGUCCGCUGAGGACGGCUUUUCCCCAGUGUAUACAGCUGGGGGAAUAAGGAGAGGGCAAGCCUGGUGUCAGCCGCCGCGGUAAUACCAGCUCUCCGAGUGGUGGGGACGCUUAUUGGGCCUAAAGCAUCCGUAGCCGGCUGGGCAAGUCCUCCGUUAAAUCCAACGAUUCAAUCGUUGGACUGCGGGGGAUACUGUCCAGCUUGGGGGCGGGAGAGGCCGACGGUAUUCCCGGGGUAGGGGUGAAAUCCUAUAAUCCCGGGAGGACCACCAGUGGCGAAGGCUGUCGGCUGGAACGCGCCCGACGGUGAGGGAUGAAAGCUGGGGGAGCGAACCGGAUUAGAUACCCGGGUAGUCCCAGCCGUAAACGAUGCAGGCUAGGUGUUAGAACGGCCACGAGCCGUUCUAGUGCCGCAGGGAAGCCGUUAAACCUGCCGCCUGGGGAGUACGGCCGCAAGGCUGAAACUUAAAGGAAUUGGCGGGGGAGCACCACAAGGGGUGAAGCUUGCGGUUUAAUUGGAGUCAACGCCGGAAACCUCACCGGGGGCGACAGCAGAAUGAAGGCCAGAUUGAAGGUCUUGCCAGACAAGCU